rnacentral:rRNA from 1 species
AACGAACGCUGGCGGCGUGCCUAACACAUGCAAGUCGAGCGAGAAAAGGGGGGCAACUCCCUGAGUACAGCGGCGCACGGGUGAGUAACACGUAGGUAAUCUACCCUCGAGCCCGGAAUAACCUACCGAAAGGUGGGCUAAUACCGGAUAUGACCACGGGAGUUUCGGCUCCUGCGGUGAAAGGUGGCCUCUGCUUGCAAGCUACUACUUGAGGAUGAGCCUGCGUGCCAUUAGCUAGUUGGUGGGGUAAUGGCCCACCAAGGCUAUGAUGGCUAGCUGGUCUGAGAGGAUGGCCAGCCACACUGGGACUGAAACACGGCCCAGACUCCUACGGGAGGCAGCAGUGGGGGAUAUUGCGCAAUGGGCGAAAGCCUGACGCAGCGACGCCGCGUGGGUGAUGAAGGCC